UUUCCAAAUGAGUCUUUGCUCUUCAAAUUGAAUCUUCUCUUCAAACUACCACGAUCAAUUCUUCAAGAUUCCAUUUGACUUUACGAAAUACGCCAACCUAGAAAAUCUUUAACAAUCUCCCCCUUUGGCGAUUUCGUGACAAAAUAUAUUACAAUGCUCGUACACAACUCAAAAAUAAUAAAAAGAAGAUCAUCGCAAUCACCAAACGACAAUCUCCUGCAUGAUCGAUCCAAUAAAAGAAAAAUUACACCUUUCACACAUUCCUAAUACAAAACUCUAUGACUUAAACAUGGAGUCUUGAAGUCUUGAAUAUUCCUGCAAAAACAUUCUUAAAACACAAUCAAGAUUCAAGAAUACUUAUCAUAUCAAAACAUUAAACAUAAACGUUAUAGUCAGUCAUCAUCAAAGUAUCAACCAAAGCAUCAAAACGACAGUCAUAGUUCAUCUACGUACUUGU
rnacentral:lncRNA from 1 species